GGGAAACUGGAACUAAUACCUUAUACGCCCUACGGGGGAAAGAUUUAUCGGGGUUUGAUGAGCCCGCGUUGGAUUAGCUAGUUGGUGGGGUAAAGGCCUACCAAGGCGACGAUCCAUAGCUGGUCUGAGAGGAUGAUCAGCCACAUUGGGACUGAGACACGGCCCAAACUCCUACGGGAGGCAGCAGUGGGGAAUAUUGGACAAUGGGCGCAAGCCUGAUCCAGCCAUGCCGCGUGAGUGAAGAAGGUCUUAGGAUUGUAAAGCUCUUUCACCGAUGAAGAUAAUGACUGUAGUCGGAGAAGAAGCCCCGGCUAACUUCGUGCCAGCAGCCGCGGUAAUACGAAGGGGGCUAGCGUUGUUCGGAAUUACUGGGCGUAAAGCGCACGUAGGCGGAUAUUUAAGUCAGGGGUGAAAUCCCGCAGCUCAACUGCGGAACUGCCUUUGAUACUGGGUAUCUUGAGUAUGGAAGAGGUAAGUGGAAUUGCGAGUGUAGAGGUGAAAUUCGUAGAUAUUCGCAGGAACACCAGUGGCGAAGGCGGCUUACUGGUCCAUUACUGACGCUG
rnacentral:rRNA from 1 species